GAUUAUGGCUCAGAUUGAACGCUGGCGGCAGGCCUAACACAUGCAAGUCGAACGGUAACAGGAAGAAGCUUGCUCUUUGCUGACGAGUGGCGGACGGGUGAGUAAUGUCUGGGAAACUGCCUGAUGGAGGGGGAUAACUACUGGAAACGGUAGCUAAUACCGCAUAACGUCGCAAGACCAAAGAGGGGGACCUUCGGGCCUCUUGCCAUCGGAUGUGCCCAGAUGGGAUUAGCUUGUUGGUGGGGUAACGGCUCACCAAGGCGACGAUCCCUAGCUGGUCUGAGAGGAUGACCAGCCACACUGGAACUGAGACACGGUCCAGACUCCUACGGGAGGCAGCAGUGGGGAAUAUUGCACAAUGGGCGCAAGCCUGAUGCAGCCAUGCCCGCGUGUAUGAAGAAGGCCUUCGGGUUGUAAAGUACUUUCAGCGGGGAGGAAGGGAGUAAAGUUAAUACCUUUGCUCAUUGACGUUACCCGCAGAAGAAGCACCGGCUAACUCCGUGCCAGCCGCGGC
rnacentral:rRNA from 1 species